rnacentral:rRNA from 1 species
GACGAACGCUGACGGCGUGCUUAACACAUGCAAGUCGAACGGAAAGGCCCUGCUUUUGUGGGGUGCUCGAGUGGCGAACGGGUGAGUAACACGUGAGUAACCUGCCCUUGACUUUGGGAUAACUUCAGGAAACUGGGGCUAAUACCGGAUAGGAGCUCCUGCUGCAUGGUGGGGGUUGGAAAGUUUCGGCGGUUGGGGAUGGACUCGCGGCUUAUCAGCUUGUUGGUGGGGUAGUGGCUUACCAAGGCUUUGACGGGUAGCCGGCCUGAGAGGGUGACCGGCCACAUUGGGACUGAGAUACGGCCCAGACUCCUACGGGAGGCAGCAGUGGGGAAUAUUGCACAAUGGGCGGAAGCCUGAUGCAGCAACGCCGCGUGCGGGACGACGGCCUUCGGGUUGUAAACCGCUUUCGCCUGUGACGAAGCGUGAGUGACGGUAAUGGGUAAAGAAGCACCGGCUAACUACGUG